rnacentral:rRNA from 1 species
GAUGAACGCUGGCGGCGUGCCUAAUACAUGCAAGUCGAGCGAACAGAUAAGGAGCUUGCUCCUUUGACGUUAGCGGCGGACGGGUGAGUAACACGUGGGUAACCUACCUAUAAGACUGGGAUAACUUCGGGAAACCGGAGCUAAUACCGGAUAACAUUUGGAACCGCAUGGUUCUAAAGUGAAAGAUGGUUUUGCUAUCACUUAUAGAUGGACCCGCGCCGUAUUAGCUAGUUGGUAAGGUAACGGCUUACCAAGGCGACGAUACGUAGCCGACCUGAGAGGGUGAUCGGCCACACUGGAACUGAGACACGGUCCAGACUCCUACGGGAGGCAGCAGUAGGGAAUCUUCCGCAAUGGGCGAAAGCCUGACGGAGCAACGCCGCGUGAGUGAUGAAGGGUUUCGGCUCGUAAAACUCUGUUAUUAGGGAAGAACAAACGUGUAAGUAACUGUGCACGUCUUGACGGUCCCUAAUCAGAAAGCCACGGCUAACUACGUG